rnacentral:lncRNA from 1 species
AAUAUCUGAAGUUUCUCAACCGUCGGUUUCUAACUCUGAUGGAUCACGAGAAUUGAAGCACAACAUCAGCUCCUUCUCGCAUCCUGUUAAACAAAGCCUAUUUGAAGGUUAGAUUCUUAUUAUUACAGUCUUGAUUAUUACAUACUGAUGUGUUAUGUUUUGAUUAGUGUACAAGAUUAUAAUUUGUUUGAUGUGUUGUGUUUUCCUUAGAGUAAGAAUUUGAUUAUUACAAACUGAUGUGUUAUGUUUUUAUUAGUCUUCCAUUUAUCGAUAAACUUUGCACAUUUGUAUAGUUUUGAACCUCAAAUUGC